rnacentral:rRNA from 1 species
GAUGAACGCUAGCGGCAGGCCUAACACAUGCAAGUCGAGGGGUAGAGUUCUUCGGGACUUGAGACCGGCGCACGGGUGCGUAACGCGUAUGCAAUCUACCUUAUACAGGGGAAUAGCCCCAGAGAAAUUUGGAUUAAUGCCCCAUAGUGUUAUCGAAUCGCAUGGUUUGAUAACUAAAGUUCCAACGGUAUAAGAUGAGCAUGCGUCCAUUAGUUAGUUGGUAAGGUAACGGCUUACCAAGACAAUGAUGGUAGGGGUCCUGAGAGGGAGAUCCCCCACACUGGUACUGAGACACGGACCAGACUCCUACGGGAGGCAGCAGUGAGGAAUAUUGGAC